rnacentral:rRNA from 1 species
CCAAGCGUUAUCCGGAUUUAUUGGGCGUAAAGCGAGCGCAGACGGUUGUUUAAGUCUGAAGUGAAAGCCCACAGCUUAACUGUGGAAGUGCUUUGGAAACUGGAUGACUUGAGUGCAGUAGAGGAGAGUGGAACUCCAUGUGUAGCGGUGAAAUGCGUAGAUAUAUGGAAGAACACCAGUGGCGAAGGCGGCUCUCUGGACUGUAACUGACGUUGAGGCUCGAAAGUGUGGGUAGCAAACAGGAUUAGAUACCCUGGUAGUCCACACCGUAAACGAUGAGUGCUAGAUGUUUGAGGGUUUCCGCCCUUAAGUGUCGCAGCUAACGCAUUAAACACUCCGCCUGGGGAGUACGACCGCAAGGUUGAAACUCAAAGGAAUUGACGGGGACCCGCACAAGCGGUGGAGCAUGUGGUUUAAUUCGAAGCAACGCGAAGAACCUUACCAGCUCUUGACAUCCUUUGACCACUUCAGAGAUGAAGCUUUCCCUUCGGGGACAAAGUGACAGGUGGUGCAUGGUUGUCGUCAGCUCGUGUCGUGAGAUGUUGGGUUAAGUCCCGCAACGAGCGCAACCCUUAUUACUAGUUGCCAGCAUUUAGUUGGGCACUCUAGUGAGACUGCCGGUGACAAACCGGAGGAAGGUGGGGAUGACGUCAAAUCAUCAUGCCCCUUAUGAGCUGGGCUACGCACGUGCUACAAUGGCAAGUACAACGAGCAGCUAACCCGCGAGGGUACGCGAAUCUCUUAAAACUUGUCUCAGUUCGGAUUGUAGGCUGCAACUCGCCUACAUGAAGUCGGAAUCGCUAGUAAUCGCGGAUCAGCACGCCGCGGUGAAUACGUUCCCGGGUCUUGUACACACCGCCCGUCACACCAUGAGAGUUUGUAACACCCAAAGCCGGUGAGGUAACCUUUUAGGAGC